UACAAUUUAUAGAACGAGCAGUGCUUACUUCUUGCCUUGCAGCGUGGUUACUGAAACUGCGACAGUGUGCUUCUGUUACAAAAAUAAAUGUGUAAACUGGUGUUUUCACACUGCCAGUGUUUCCAUUCUAAUAAAUUAACAGACUAUGGUGAGUUCGAAAAGCUGACGUUGAAGAGAAAACACAAAUUUGCAAUAGGACAUUUAAUAAUUUUGAACCAUAAGAACACUGUGAUCAUUAUGACAGUGGCUUUUAAUUUCACCUGUGGCAAAUGUAUAUUUUAUGUAAAAUUUCGUGGGCACACAUGACAUCAGUGGCCCAUCAUUUUGAAGGAUGGACUUUCUUUGUCUUCAGGCAUAAAGGGAGGAUUCCUAAUAUUGGAUCUGGUAGAAGAAGUUGUGAAGGACGUCAGAUGCAUUAUUAUACCAACCACAACCUUGAUAUAUUGUUAAAAUGGCACACCACAUGUUCCUACUUCAGGUAAAUUUAUGUGCAUGUUGGUAGAAGUGUACAGAACAAGUAUUUCAAGACCAGUUUGUGGCUGUGGAACCAUUCAUAAACACUUCUAAUGGUUUUUCUAUUGACAGUAUGCCAUGGCGGUUCUAGAAUUGAUCAUGAAGAUCACCUCGCGUUCUUAGCACCCUUCGAUGACCUUCCACGGCAACAGGACACAUCGUCAUUCAACACUGCGUGGUGACGACUCUAACGCUGAAGCAACCCCAGAUAUGAGUGAUAUGGACGUACCUGUGGCAGUUCACGGUACUCCACUUCCUGCGGCUGUGUGGAAUUGGGCUCAGCCGUCCACAUCUUAAGGGUCCCGCCCUUGAAGAGACCUUCCGCGCGUUGCAGGGUGAGGUGGACGUCGCGUCCGAACGCUGUCAGCUUCAGACGAUGCACUUCCUCCGUCUCUGGUGAACCUCCGUCCCCAUCAUCAUCUGUCUGGACACUCCGCUUUGAUAAGGAAUGCACGUGGACCACCUCGUAAUCGGGAACUACAAAGUUGAGCUGUAUGUCCAGUCAAUCUUCACCUUCUGGUCAGAUCAGCCUGACACAAAUCAGUCUUUCGACGCCGACUUUCACUUCUGGGAUGACUCGCCACAAGAAGAUGUGCCUAACCGCAAGGUAGUAAGUGAUCUUUUGCUUCGUUUGUGUUGUUCGUCUGUUAAAUUACAGGAAUGAAGCAUGGCCUUUUGUAAUAUGCAAAUUUUUUCUACCAACUGUCAGGUGUCUUUAAAAAUUGCUUGGCUGUAAUGUGUUCCUGGAUUUAACGUUCCUGCGAGAUCUUGUGUUUGAUAUGAUACGUCUCACAGAAAAAACAGCCUGUAUCUUUGUACUAGGAAUAGAACGUAAUGCAAAUGUUCACGUUAUUUAGUUCAAGUCUCAAAGUGACUGCAUGGUAUAGAACCUUAAUUAAUCAGUAAAUAUAUAUAUUCAGAUAUUCAGAAGAUCCCUUGUUACAUUGCCCUAAAAAGGCUUAGCACGAGUAUUAAAAUAUCCUGCCACUGGGCCAUGCUCAUUUCAUAUCUACCGAACAUAUUUAGGAUUCAUUUUUAUAGUAUUCUUCCAUUUACGCCUAGGUCUGCUAAGAGUUCUUCUUACUUCAGUUAUAAGACUACACGGUGUGGCAGUCUAGAAUACUGGACACUCGCCAACGUGUAAACAUCCAAUUCCCAUAUAAACUAUAAUAAUUUAGACGGUAAUUUUUAGUAGAACACCGAUGUAAAAAAAUGGACGCAAAGUUUAAGUUAAACCACUUGAAAUCGAAGCUAUUGUAAAAUGAUAUAUAAUAAUUAUUGAAGCUGCCUGUAUAAACAUGCACGAAACAUCCCACAGAAUGAAAAGGAACUUUUAAAGAUUCGUAAUAUAAUUGCUAGCGAAGGGGUAUUAAAAUUGUAUCGCAGGGCUACUCCUUAGGUCUGUCCGUAGUGGCUGUGGGCCAUUUGUAAGAGCCUGUGGCAGUGUUUUUAAAUUUCUGUUACGUAAUUUUCCCCUUCAUAAAUUUUGCUGUUGUAACAACCCAUAUGUUUUACCUGUGGACACACGUAGGUGUAAACUGACACUAAAAGUUGUUACAUUGCUACCUCGUAUAUUGCUCUAAGUUUGCUGAUUAAACACAGUGACAGUUACAAGUAGAAUUCCACUCCUGAUCUGCACGACAGCUUGUCUUCUCAUGAACUGGAGAGUACGUAAUGGAAGUUAUACAUCUACCACUUUAUGCCCGUUAAAUCCUUGUCCGUGUGCAUUAUGUAUAAUAAAUGCAGUGUAUAUCAUGGUCCUUCA